rnacentral:rRNA from 1 species
AUUGAACGCUGGCGGCAGGCCUAACACAUGCAAGUCGAGCGGAUGAAGGGAGCUUGCUCCUGGAUUCAGCGACGGACGGGUGAGUAAUGCCUAGGAAUCUGCCUGGUAGUGGGGGAUAACGUCCGGAAACGGGCGCUAAUACCGCAUACGUCCUGAGGGAGAAAGUGGGGGAUCUUCGGACCUCACGCUAUCAGAUGAGCCUAGGUCGGAUUAGCUAGUUGGUGGGGUAAAGGCCUACCAAGGCGACGAUCCGUAACUGGUCUGAGAGGAUGAUCAGCCACACUGGAACUGAGACACGGUCCAGACUCCUACGGGAGGCAGCAGUGGGGAAUAUUGGACAAUGGGCGAAAGCCUGAUCCAGCCAUGCCGCGUGUGUGAAGAAGGUCUUCGGAUUGUAAAGCACUUUAAGUUGGGAGGAAGGGCAGUAAGUUAAUACCUUGCUGUUUUGACGUUACCAACAGAAUAAGCACCGGCUAACUUCGUG